rnacentral:rRNA from 1 species
AUUGAACGCUAGCGGGAUGCUUUACACAUGCAAGUCGAACGAGUGGCGGACGGGUGAGUAAUAUAUAGGCACGUGCCCAGUAGCGGGGGAUAACUACUCGAAAGAGUGGCUAAUACCGCAUAAUUUUGUAGCGGCCGAUAUCGGAUUAUCUAGUUGGGGGGGUAAAGGCUCACCAAGGCAACGAUCCGUAGCUGGUCUGAGAGGACGACCAGCCACACUGGGACUGAGACACGGCCCAGACUCCUACGGGAGGAAGCAGUGGGGAAUUUUGGACAAUGGGGGAAACCCUGAUCCAGCCAUCCCGCGUGUAUGAGAAGGCCUUCGGGUUGUAAAGUACUUUUGGCAGAGAAGCGGUAUCUGCAGAAUAAGCACCGGCUAACUACGUGCCAGCAGCCGCGGUAAUUC